GAUGAAGAACGCAGUGAAAUGCGAUAAGUAAUGUGAAUUGCAGAAUUCAGUGAAUCAUCGAAUCUUUGAACGCACCUUGCGCCCUUUGGCAUUCCGAAGGGCAUGCCUGUUUGAGUAUCAUGAACACCUCAACUCUUCAUGGUUUUCCAUGAUGAGCUUGGACUUUGGGGGUCUUGCUGGCCUGCGGUCGGCUCCUCUCAAAUGAAUCAGCUUACCAGUGUUUGGUGGGCAUCACAGGUGUGAUAACUAUCUGCGCUUGUGGUUUUCCACCAAGUAACCUUCAGCAGUGGAGGUUCACUGGAGCUCACAGACGUCUCUCCUCAGUGAGGACAGCCCUUUGAAUGUUUGAUCUCAAAUCAGGUAGGACUACCCGCUGAACUUAAGCAUAUCAAUAAGCGGAGGA
rnacentral:misc_RNA from 1 species